UACGUAGGGGGCAAGCGUUGUCCGGAUUUAUUGGGCGUAAAGAGCGUGUAGGCGGCCUGAAAGGUCAGCUGUGAAAACUCGAGGCUCAACCUCGAGACGUCGGUUGAAACCAUCUGGCUAGAGUCCGGAAGAGGAGAGUGGAAUUCCCGGUGUAGCGGUGAAAUGCGCAGAUAUCAUUUGGAACGCCAAUGGUGAAAACAGGUCGCUGGGAGUGUGCUGACGCUGAGACACGAAAGCCAGGGGAGCAAACGGGG
rnacentral:rRNA from 1 species